rnacentral:tRNA from 1 species
AAGCUUAGGAUAACAUAAACCAAGAGCCUUCAAAGCCCUAAAUAGGGACUACAACCCCCUAGCUUCU